CAAUAACAAAAGUAUUAAAAGUUAAAACACGUGAAUUUUAAAUAUCUGCACCUCUGCUUGCCUCUCUCACCAAUAUCUCGAGAAUGCUCAGCAAUAAGCAACUAUACAAAGAGCAAGCAAUAUAAUAUACCAUUCAUCGAUAUUAUAACUUAGCAACAAUCAGCACUCCAAAUAUAAAAAAAACACCACUACCAACAACAACAAAAACAACAACAACAGCAACAACUAAACGUUUAAAAAGUGUCAUCUUCGUCUUCGUAUUAUGCCACUUAAUCAAACUGCGAAAAGAAAUGUGAAAAUGAAACAAAACAGGGAAACAAAGCCCUUGAAAUCAAUAAUAAAAAUAAUAAUAAAAGCGACUCCGCCGCCAUCAUCUGGCCCCUGGAACAUCAUCGCGACGUUGCGGAAAACCCUUUGCAACUUUAACAUCUUUACCUACAUCUAAGAUAACAUGAAGUGCAUUAGAGAAGGUCGCCAGGAGGAGCAUUUUGGAGCAAUAUCUCGAGAUGUGUUGACGCCGCAUACAAAUGAGAUGUAAUGAGAAGCAGGAGUCACGUUUCAUCUACCCAAUUCGGC
rnacentral:sRNA from 1 species